rnacentral:rRNA from 1 species
CGGACGGGUGAGUAAUGUAUGGGGAUCUGCCCGAUAGAGGGGGAUAACUACUGGAAACGGUGGCUAAUACCGCAUAAUGUCUACGGACCAAAGCAGGGGCUCUUCGGACCUUGCACUAUCGGAUGAACCAUAUGGGAUUAGCUAGUAGGUGGGGUAAAGGCUCACCUAGGCGACGAUACAUAGCCGACCUGAGAGGGUGAUCGGCCACACUGGGACUGAGACACGGCCCAG